rnacentral:ncRNA from 1 species
UUCCCAUUCGGGAAGACGGAUUAAAAGGGAAUCGGGUGUAAAUCCCGAACAGUCCCGCUGCUGUGAAGCUCCGUUUCAACAUCCUGAAACUACUAUUGCCACUGGUUUGUUAUAACAAGUCGGGAAGGCUUCGGGAUGGGAGUCAGUCAGAAGACCUGCCAUUCAUUAAA